UACAGAGGUGGCAAGCGUUGUUCGGAAUUACUGGGCGUAAAGAGCGUGUAGGCGGCCAGGUAGGUCCGUUGUGAAAACUCGAGGCUCAACCUCGAGACGUCGGCGGAAACCCUCUGGCUAGAGUCCGGAAGAGGAGAGUGGAAUUCCUGGUGUAGCGGUGAAAUGCGCAGAUAUCAGGAAGAACACCCGUGGCGAAGGCGGCUCUCUGGGACGGUACUGACGCUGAGACGCGAAAGCGUGGGGAGCAAACAGG
rnacentral:rRNA from 1 species